rnacentral:snRNA from 1 species
AAGAGCUUUUAUUUUUGCAAUUUGUCCGUUAGGUUUUCUUUUUUAAAAAAGAAGGCCCCC